UACAGGGGGGGCAAGCGUUGUUCGGAAUUACUGGGCAUAAAGGGUCUGUAGGUGGCCAACUAAGUCAGACGUGAAAUCCCUCAGCUUAACUGGGGAACUGCGUCUGAUACUGGAUGGCUUGAGUGUGGGAGAGGAAUGCGGAAUUCCAGGUGUAGCGGUGAAAUGCGUAGAUAUCUGGAGGAACACCUGUGGCGAAAGCGGCGCACUGGACCACAACUGACGCUGAGGCGCGAAAGCUAGGGGAGCAAACAGG
rnacentral:rRNA from 1 species